CAGGCUAUGAUGAUUGGCGCAGGGGUACGGACCUCAGCCGAAUCAUGGGGGCUGAAUGUAUGUGUUUUUGCCUUUGUCCUGCAUGUGGCAGGUUAAUGGCAAGGCACUUACAUGAGACUAUGCCUUAAUCUGAGCCUG